GACGAACGCUGGCGGCGUGCCUAAUACAUGCAAGUUGAGCGCUGAAGGUUGGUACUUGUCCCAACUGGAUGAGCAGCGAACGGGUGAGUAACGCGUGGGGAAUCUGCCUUUGAGCGGGGGACAACAUUUGGAAACGAAAGCUAAUACCGCAUAAAAACUUUAAACACAAGUUUUAAGUUUGAAAGAUGCAAUUGCAUCACUCAAAGAUGAUCCCGCGUUGUAUUAGCUAGUUGGUGAGGUAAAGGCUCACCAAGGCGAUGAUACAUAGCCGACCUGAGAGGGUGAUCGGCCACAUUGGGACUGAGACACGGCCCAAACUCCUACGGGAGGCAGCAGUAGGGAAUCUUCGGCAAUGGACGAAAGUCUGACCGAGCAACGCCGCGGGAGUGAAGAAGGGUUUCGGAUCGUAAAACUCUGUUGGUAGAGAAGAACGUUGGUGAGAGUGGAAAGCUCAUCAAGUGACGGUAACUACCCAGAAAGGGACGGCUAACUACGUG
rnacentral:rRNA from 1 species